rnacentral:lncRNA from 1 species
GGCGCCGUUGAUCUGUACCUUGCCGUUGGGCGCUUUCUUGGAGUGCCCGUUUACGUGCGGGGCGCCGUUGACGGCCCUGGCCGCCCGGACGAAGGACGGCGACCUGGAGGAGGAAGGUCUGGCGCGGUGGGGCUUGGGGAGGAGGAGGUGCUUGGAGAGGUGGAGGGAGGAGGUGUAGGCCAUAGAUUUCCGGGCGGUGAGGUCGACGGUGGUUGGAGUCGGAGCUGAGCUAACAAGCGUCGAGAGGGGAAGCUUCUUGACUUUUUAUACACGCUGAAAUGCUACUACUGCUCCUACUCCAGACUCCAGAGUGGCU